UACGGGGGGGGGCAAGCGUUGUUCGGAUUUACUGGGCGUAAAGGGCGCGCAGGCGGCCGCUCAAGUCAGGCGUGAAAGCCCCGGGCUUAACCUGGGAACUGCGUCUGGGACUGAGUGGCUAGAGUUCGGGAGAGGAGAGUGGAAUUCCCAGUGUAGAGGUGAAAUUCGUAGAUAUUGGGAAGAACACCGGUGGCGAAGGCGGCUCUCUGGACCGAGACUGACGCUGAGGCGCGAAAGCGUGGGGAGCAAACAGG
rnacentral:rRNA from 1 species